rnacentral:rRNA from 1 species
CUUUUAUUUACAUCAACAUCGCCAGGGAACUACGAGCUAAGCUUAAAACCCAAAGGACUUGACGGUACCCCAUAUCCACCUAGAGGAGCCUGUCCUAUAAUCGAUAACCCACGCUUAACCUCACCAUUUUUAGUUAUCAGCCUGUAUACCUCCGUCGCCAGCUUACCACGUGAGCGUUAAUAGUGAGCCAAAUGUAAUUUCACCAACACGUCAGGUCAAGGUGCAGUAAAUGGAAUGGGAAGAGAUGGGCUACACUUUCUACUUUAGAAAACACGAAUAACUAUAUGAAAUAAAGUUAGAAGGCGGAUUUAGCAGUAAAAAGGAAUCAAUAUGUCCUUUUUAAUCUAGCACUGGGGUGUGUACACACCGCCCGUCACCCUCUUCAAGACUCUAAUUCAAGUCCUUAACAAACAAAAAUCUGCU